rnacentral:rRNA from 1 species
GACAGAGGAUGCAAGCGUUAUCCGGAAUGAUUGGGCGUAAAGCGUCUGUAGGUGGCUCUUUAAGUCCGCCGUCAAAUCCCCAGGGCUCAACCCUGGACAGGCGGUGGAAACUACCAAGCUGGAGUACGGUAGGGGCAGAGGGAAUUUCCGGUGGAGCGGUGAAAUGCGUAGAGAUCGGAAAGAACACCAACGGGCGAAAGCACUCUGUUGGCCGACACUGACACUGAGAGACGAAAGCUAGGGGAGCGAAUGG